rnacentral:snRNA from 1 species
GGAUGUGAGGGUGAUCUGGCUGUGAAAUCUGUCACCACACUGCUCGCCAGUAUUGAUUUGGCUUAUCUGGCUGGCUAGGUAGGUGUCCCCUUCCUCCCUCACUGCUCCAUGUGCAUCUCUCUCAAAGCUGCCUGCUGGGUCAAAGAGGACGACCCUCCUAAACAGAAGAGGACUGUUCUGCAGUCAAGAGUACAUGAGUAGCUGCUAGAACCUCCAAACAAGCUCUAUUUGAUUUUCUGUGUCACCUGCAAAUAAUUACAGUUUUGCACCUUUCUUUCCAAUCAUU